GGAUCUUCGCUUUCUUCUCGUUGAGGACCAAAACAAAGCGAGAGUAGAGCUCCGCCUCCCAGGGCCUCCUUCCCUCCGGCGUAACGCUCCAGUCUUCAAGGUGCAGGAACACACGGGACAUAAAAAUCCUCACUCUGCAGCCACGCGCUGCUGUUCUCGGGUCAGCCUCUGGUUCUCCUCCUGCAGGCUCAGGUUGUGGUUCUCCAGCGCGGUUCCCCUCUGCAGGCUGUGCGUCAGUAACUCUCUCACUGCCUCCGCCGGCCGCGGGUCGGCCAUCAGCUGAGCAGAACCCAACCGGAACUACGUCACGCAUGUAAGACUCAUACGUUGAGCAAGAGGAGAAUCCAACUCUACAACAUUCAUUUCCCUUUUUAUUGAAACAGCCGCACUCAGGUUUCCAUUCGCCAACGGCUGCCAUGGCAACGCGUUGGCAGGGCUGACCCCAGUUCACUCGGUGCGCUCAUGAUCAGAGGUUUAAAGCCUGUAAACACUCAUCUUUCUACUUCACAUCCAAAGACAAGCGGAUGGUUCGGUCACUCACAGAGAUGUCCUUCU
ensembl:lncRNA